AUGUUUUUGAAUAUCAGAACUUUCAUCCCAGUAAGAUGCUCCCUUGAAAGAAAGCCUCCUUUACUUGAACAAAACGUAAUACAGAAUAAUACAGAUAAAUGUAAGAAAACAGUCCAAACUCAGUAUUAUCAAGCAGGAAAUUUGUGUAUCCAGGAGUAUUAUUUAGGAGCAAUUUUUUCUCUGGUUGGACUAUGUAAUUUUUAUUCCUCGAACUAAGCAAAGGAAUUGAGCUUUGAAUUCUGGUGGUUAAAACAACCUUUGUAACCUUGGUCCUCUGAUUACCUGAGGAUUUUGCACUACCUUUCAGAAGUUGCACUAAUGCCGAUGGAUGCUAUCUUUUGCUGUUUUAAUAAUGUUGUUUUAAAAAUGAAUUUGUUCUAUUUCAUGUGUUUAUGAACUCUUUGGAUGGGGUUAAAAGGAACUUCCCCAGACUUUUACAUUUGUAGUGAAGGCUACCUUUAAAAAUAAAGUUUUGAAUAUUUGAAUAGUUAUUUCUCUUUUGUGAAGAAAGCUGAAAUCCUGACUUACAGGGUAUUUUUCCAGGCACCUAUGUUUUGUGAAGGGUAAAGGUGUACUCAUUAGCCAACAAUCUGGAUGGAGAUUCAGUAACUAUUACACUGUGGUAUAUAGUUUUUUGAUUAAUUGCCAUUUCACUUCUUUCUAAUGAUACGUAUAAACAUAGCUGAAAUCAGAUUCUCUCUGUAAGGUUGAAAAAAGUAGCCUAUUCUAUUUCCUACUUCUGGCUUUUCUGUAGUUUUCUUUUGCUUCUUUUUGUAUCAGUUUUACUUCUUUUCUAUAUAGUAGUUAUUUCAAGUGAGUUUGAAAAUUUGGGUUCAUUCGCUUUGUGCAUAUGAAGGAGCUAUUUUUUGGGGAAAAUAAUAUUCUAAUUGAUGUCACAAUUUAUGACAACUUUGAACCAAAAAUGAAUCUUGUCUAACUUCUUGUUCAUAUAUCU
rnacentral:lncRNA from 1 species